rnacentral:tRNA from 1 species
GGGCCCGUAGCUCAGCGGUUAGAGCGGCCGGCUCAUAACCGGUAGGUCGCUGGUUCGAAUCCAGCCGGGCCCACCA